CAUUGAGGUCGUUCUCUGUUUUCUCUGCUUGCUGUGUGGCUUUUUCAGCCUCCGCCCACUCCUUGGCAAAGCGCUUCUUUCUACUUUCGAGGUGUUUA